UGCAUGAAUCAAAUCCGGUCACCCAGAUGA
rnacentral:piRNA from 1 species